AGUGGAUGUUUAUGCAGUCCAGAGCAGCACCAAGUAGUUUGAUAGAAGAGCAACAGAUUUAUUUAUUAGAUAUUGUUACGUUGCUUUCCAUCAGUGGAAGUUCACGCAGAGCAGCACCAAGCAGUUUGAUUUCUAUCAAACUCUUCUGAGCGACAGCUUCAUUUAUUAGAUACACAAUGUUACGUCAUUCUUUAUCAGUGGAAAUUCAUACAGUGCAGAGUAGCAUGGAGCAGUUUUGAAGAAGAAAGA